rnacentral:rRNA from 1 species
GGCCAGACUCCUACGGGAGGCAGCAGUGGGGAAUAUUGGACAAUGGGGGGAACCCUGAUCCAGCGACGCCGCGUGAGUGAAGAAGUAUUUCGGUAUGUAAAGCUCUAUCAGCAGGGAAGAAAAUGACGGUACCUGACUAAGAAGCCCCGGCUAACUACGUGCCAGCAGCCGCGGUAAUACGUAGGGGGCAAGCGUUAUCCGGAUUUACUGGGUGUAAAGGGGGCGCAGACGGCGAUGCAAGCCAGGAGUGAAAGCCCGGGGCUCAACCCCGGGACUGCAUUUGGAACUGUGUGGCUGGAGUGUCGGAGAGGCAGGCGGAAUUCCUAGUGUAGCGGUGAAAUGCGUAGAUAUUAGGAGGAACACCAGUGGCGAAGGCGGCCUGCUGGACGAUGACUGACGUUGAGGCUCGAAAGCGUGGGGAGCAAACAGGAUUAGAUACCCUCGUAAA